rnacentral:rRNA from 1 species
AUUAGAUUAUUAUUUCUUUUUUGUGAAGUGUCAUUUUUUUUUAUUAUUUUAUUUGAAUAAAGGUUUUUAAUUAUAGUAAAUUAGUAGUGUGAAUGAAUUUUGAAAUAUGUUUUAGUUUGGAAAAAGAAGAUUUGAAUUUUUGUACCUUGUGUAUCAGGGUUAAUAAAUUAAGGGUUCUGUAUAAAAUUUUCCCGAAUCAGGAAGAGCUAAUUGGCUGUAUUUUUAGUUGUUUCAUAAACUUUAAUAAUGGUUGUUUAGAAAUGAAACGUUAUUCGUUUCCUGUGAUAUCUGGUUUUAUAAGAAAUGAAUUAAAUUCAUUUGUUGAUUAAUUCGUGUUAAAUUUUAGCUUGGACUGGUUAGCAAUAAAUAGUGGGGGGGACGAGCUUUCCAUUAUAGUUCUAAAAUGAUUAUUUUUGUUUAGUAAGUAUGAUUAGUAUUGUCAGUCUUUAGUUUAAUUUUAUAGUUGUUUUUACUUAAAUUUUUAUUUAUUUAUAUUUUAGAUUUUAUAUUAUGAUUUUUUCUUUAAUUUUUUUUGUGAUUUGAUAAUGAUUAAAUUAGUAAAAUAAUAUUUGUUUCGUUAGAAGUUUUUUGGGUUUAAUAAAGGAAUUCGGCAAAAGUGUCUUUCGCCUGUUUAUUAAAAACAUGUCCUUUUGAUUAUUAUUUAAGGUCUAAUCUGCUCAAUGAGGAAUUAAAUUGCCGCGGUAUUUUGACCGUGCGAAGGUAGCAUAAUAAUUAGUUUUUUUAUUGAAAGCUGGAAUGAAUGAUUGGACGAGGGGACAGCUGUCUACUAUUGAAUUAUUUAUUGAAUUUAACUUUUAAGUAAAAAGGCUUAAAUUUUAUUAAAAGACGAGAAGACCCUAUAGAGUUUAAUAUCUUUUUUUGUGAUAGGUUUUUGGGAUUAUUUAUUUUUACAUGAAUAGGUGUUUGGUUGGGGUGACUGGAAGAUUUUAUAAACUCUUCUAAUUUGUUGUUACUGAUUAGUAAAUUUAAAGUCUGGAUUUUUCAAGAUUAAUGAAAAUUACCUUAGGGAUAACAGCGUAAUUUCUUUUUAGAGUUCUUAUUGGAAGGGAAGUUUGCGACCUCGAUGUUGGAUUAAAAUAAAUAUUUGGCGCAGUAGCUAAAUUAUUAGGUCUGUUCGACCUUUAAAAUUUUACAUGAUCUGAGUUUAAACCGGUGUGAGCCAGGUUGGUUUCUAUCUUUAAUUGAUUAUGACGCUUUAGUACGAAAGGACCGGGUGUUAAUAUAUUAUUUGGUUUUUGAAUGUUAUUG